GAAAAAAAAAAAAAAAAAAAAAAAAGGCGCAAUGCACUUUUCUCCUGUCCCCAUAUCUCCGGGGACGACUGUAUCUGUUUUGUUCGUUCAUGUUCGUUUAUGUUCGUUCUUUUUUAUUU
rnacentral:ribozyme from 12 species